GCGCGUGUGGCUUAGUGGAUAGCGCUGCUGUUUUCGAAAUUUCGAUCGCGGGUUCGAACCCCACCUGGGUCA